rnacentral:lncRNA from 1 species
UGGGAACCAGGGGCUGAAAUUGGUGUUGGUGCCUAUGAGAUGGUGUAUAAGGUCUGAGAUCCCUACAGUGGAUCCUUUGUGGCCCUCAAGAGAGAGAGUUCCGAAUGGAGGAGGAGCUAGAGGGGCUUUCCCAUCAGCACAAUAUGUGGAUGUCUAUGAUACUUCCUGAACUGAUUCAGACAUCAAGUGUUUGAGCAUAUUGACUAGGACCUAAGGAUACACCCGGACAAAGAACCCCCCCCCCCCCGCCCCCACCCCCGCCCAAGUCUUGCCAGUUGAGACCAUCAAGGAUCUGAUAUGUCAGUGCCGGGCUAGAUUUUCUUCAAGCCAAUAGAGUGAUUCACAGAGACCUGAAGCCAGAAAAGCAACAAUUGUGUAAGCAUGGAGCACUGGCUGUAUCUUUGAAGAAGUGUUUUGUGGAAAGCCUCUCUUCUGUGCAAACUCUGGAGCAGACCAGUUGGGCAAAAUCUUUGAUCAAAUUGAGUUGCCUCCGGAAGACGAGUGGCCUCCUGAGGUAGUCCUGUCCAGGGGAACCUUUUCCCUUAGAGGGCCUUAGCUGGCGCAGUCAGUGGUGCCGGAGAUGGAGGACUGGAGCUCAGCCGCUCCUGGAAAUGCUGACUUUUAACCCACAUAAGUGGAUCUCUGCCUUUCGAGCUUUGCAGCACUCUUAUCUGUACAAGGAAGAGGGUGACCCCG